UACGAAGGGGGCUAGCGUUGUUCGGAAUUACUGGGCGUAAAGGGCGCGUAGGCGGCCAUUCAAGUUAGAUGUGAAAGCCCUGGGCUCAACCUAGGAAUUGCAUUUGAUACUGUUUGGCUUGAGUUCGGGAGAGGUGAGUGGAAUUCCCAGUGUAGAGGUGAAAUUCGUAGAUAUUGGGAAGAACACCAGUGGCGAAGGCGGCUCACUGGACCGACACUGACGCUGAGGCGCGAAAGCGUGGGGAGCAAACAGGG
rnacentral:rRNA from 1 species